AUGGGGAGUUCGCGAGCGCGGGUCGGGCAGGACGGACUUAGGGCCGGGGCCAACUCGGCUCCUGAGCCUGCCGCAGCGGUCACCGCAUCACCCGGCGGCGGCCCCUUUAUGCGCUGCCGCCCGAGCCGCCGCCGCCGCCGCCGCCGCCGCCACCGCGGUAGCUGCCUCUUCCUUCUAGGCUCAGCGCCGCCUCCUCAGCCGCCGCGGAUCCCUCCGCCGGGGAGCAAGAGCUCAGGCCUCGGGCUCGGCCGGCGGCUCUGGGUAGGACAGCCAGAGGGACUGCCUGCUGCAGGUGGACCGAGGGACGCGCGGGCGGGCGGCGCCGCCGGGGUGGGGCAGCCGGAGCGCGGGGUGGGCCCAGGCCGAGGGGCAGGUCGGGAGAGCAGGGAUUGGCGGGCCGGGGGAAGGGAGGGCCGGGCCGCGCCGGCGGCGGAGGGAUACGGGCCGCCCCUGUGAGUACCUCACGCGCCGUCGCUGUCGCCGCCGCGGCCGGCGAGAGGAUGACGCCGCGAAGCGCAGAGGGGAGAUCUCGCGAGACCUGUGGCGCGGGUCGCAGAGGCUUGCCGGUUGUGGUCCUUGAUCGCAUUGCCCGUGGGCUCUCAGCUUUCAUUCGCGUGAUACAUGAGAUAAAUAAAAGUUUAAAAGCGAAUGUUUUCCAUAUCACUCGACCGUCCCCAUAGCAUAAACCGACCGGGGAAGAGCAAGUAGGGCCAUAGGAGGAAAGAACUUGUCCAAGGUCACACAGCUCCACAGUGGCAUAGCUUGGGACUUCCCUCAAGUCGAGUUCAGUUCAGUUCAGUCGCUCAGUCGUGUCCGACUCUUUAUGACCCCA
rnacentral:lncRNA from 1 species